rnacentral:rRNA from 1 species
UACAGAGGUCCCAAGCGUUGUUCGGAUUCAUUGGGCGUAAAGGGUGCGUAGGUGGCAUGGUAAGUCGGGUGUGAAAUCCCGGGGCUCAACCCCGGAACUGCACCUCGAUACUACGUGCUCGAGUACUGGAGAGGAGACUGGAAUUUACGGUGUAGCAGUGAAAUGCGUAGAUAUCGUAAGGAAGACCGGUGGCGAAGGCUAGUCUCUGGACAGUUACUGACACUGAGGCACGAAGGCCAGGGGAGCAAACGGG